UACGUAGGGAGCAAGCGUUGUCCGGAAUCAUUGGGCGUAAAGCGCGCGUAGGCGGCCCUGUAAGUCCGUUGUGAAAGUCAAAGGCUCAACCUUUGAAAGCCGAUGGAUACUGCAGGGCUAGAGUCCGGAAGAGGCGAGUGGAAUUCCCGGUGUAGCGGUGGAAUGCGUAGAGAUCGGGAAGAACAUCAGUGGCGAAGGCGGCCUGCUGGGCUGUUGCUGACGCUGAGGCGCGACAGCGUGGGGAGCAAACAGG
rnacentral:rRNA from 1 species